UUGAAGUCCAAUCGACUUCAAACUUGGUACACAUGUUCCCUAUGAUAUGAUCUUUCUAAUUUUAAUGCCAAAUUAGAGUUUUGACCCCAAUUUUACGGUUCACUGAACAUAGAAAAUGAUAGUGCAAAUUUCAGGUUAAAGUUUUUGGUCAAGGUAGUUUUUGAUGAAGUUGAAGUCCAAUCAACUUGAAACUUAGUAUACAUGUGCCCUAUGAUAUGAUCUUUCUAAUUUAAAUGCCAAAUUAGAGUUUUUGACCCCAAUUUUACGGUUCACUGAACAUAGAAAAUGAUAGUGCAAAUUUCAGGUUAAAGUUUUUGGCUUCAGGUUAAAGUUUUUGGUCAAGGUAGUUUUUGAUGAAGUUGAAGUCCAAUCAACUUGAAACUUAGUAUACAUGUGCCCUAUGAUAUGAUCUUUCUAAUUUAAAUGCCAAAUUAGAGUUUUGACCCCAAUUUUACGGUUCACUGAACAUAGAAAAUGAUAGUGCAAAUUUCAGGUUAAAGUUUUUGCUUCAGGUUAAAGUUUUUGGUUUCAAGGUAGUUUUUGAUGAAGUUGAAGUCCAAUCAACUUGAAACUUAGUAUACAUGUGCCUAUGAUAUGAUCUUUCUAAUUUAAAUGCCAAAUUAGAGUUUUGACCCCAAUUAUACGGUUCACUGAACAUAGAAAAUGAUAGUGCAAAUUCAGGUUAAAGUUUUUGGUCAAGGUAGUUUUUGAUAAAGUAGAAGUCCAAUCAACUUGAAACUUAGUAUACAUGUUCCCUUUGAUAAGAUCAUUCUAAUUUUAAUGCCAAAUUAGAGUUUUGACCCAAUUUUACGGUUCACUGAACAUAGAAAAUGAUAGUGCAAAUUUCAGGUUAAAGUUUUUGGUCAAGGUAGUUUUUGAUAAAGUAGAAGUCCAAUCAACUUGAAACUUAGUUACAUGUUCCCUUUG
rnacentral:lncRNA from 1 species